rnacentral:pre_miRNA from 1 species
UUAACUCGAACUUGUAUGGAGUUGGAACGUUUGCCUACGUUUGCCCCUAGGGGCGCUGUUCCGACAGCAUAUAUAGGAUA